rnacentral:rRNA from 1 species
GAUGAACGCUCGCUACAGGCUUAACACAUGCAAGUCGCGGGGCAGCAUGGGGGUUGCUUGCAAUCCCCGAUGGCGACCGGCGCACGGGUGAGUAACGCGUAUCCAACCUGCCCUUCACCACGGGAUAACCCGGCGAAAGUCGGACUAAUACCGUAUGUUGUCCAUUGACGGCAUCCGAUUUGGACGAAAGGUUUGGCGGUGAAGGAUGGGGAUGCGUCCGAUUAGCUGGACGGCGGGGUGACGGCCCACCGUGGCGACGAUCGGUAGGGGUUCUGAGGGGAAGGUCCCCCACACUGGAACUGAGACACGGUCCAGACUCCUACGGGAGGCAGCAGUGAGGAAUAUUGGUCAAUGGGCGUAAGCCUGAACCAGCCAAGUAGCGUGCAGGAUGACGGCCCUAUGGGUUGUAAACUGCUUUUAUGCGGGGAUAAAGUGGCCCACGUGUGGGUUUUUGCAGGUACCGCAUGAAUAAGGACCGGCUAAUUCCGUG